UGAAGACACACACACUCUCACUUACAGACGCAUACACACUAGCUAACAGACACACACAUUUACUGACAGAGACACAGUCAGCGACAGACAUACAUACACACUCACUUACAAAACAUACACUCUCAUUGACAAACACACACUCACUAACAGACAUCAAACAGACUCACUAACACACACACACUCAGUAAGACACACACAGUAACACACUCACUGACACUCACUAGCAGACACACACACACACACACUAACACUCACUAGCAGACACACACACUAACACUCACUACCACUCACACACACUAACACUCACUAGCAGACACACACACUAACACUCACACACACACUAACACUCACUAACACUCACACACUAACACUCAC